rnacentral:rRNA from 1 species
GGAACGAACGCUGGCGGCAUGCCUAAUACAUGCAAGUCGAACGAAGGCUUCGGCCUUAGUGGCGCACGGGUGCGUAACGCGUGGGAAUCUGCCCCUUGGUUCGGAAUAACAGUUGGAAACGACUGCUAAUACCGGAUGAUGACGAAAGUCCAAAGAUUUAUCGCCAAGGGAUGAGCCCGCGUAGGAUUAGCUAGUUGGUGAGGUAAAGGCUCACCAAGGCGACGAUCCUUAGCUGGUCUGAGAGGAUGAUCAGCCACACUGGGACUGAGACACGGCCCAGACUCCUACGGGAGCAGCAGUAGGGAAUAUUGGACAAUGGGCG